AUCCAGUUGACGAGUCUCAAAUAGGAUAAAACCCAAGUCCUGGAU
rnacentral:hammerhead_ribozyme from 1 species